GGUCGGUUUGGCCGGAUUUCACACAGGUGUUGCAUGGCUGUCGUCAGCUCGUGUCGUGAGGUGUUGGGGUAAGUCCCGCAACGAGCGCAACCCUCAUCCUUAGUUACCAUCAGGUUAUGCUGGGGACUUUAAGGAAACUGCCAGUGAUAAACUGGAGGAAGGUGGGGAUGAUGUCAAGUCAUCAUGGCCCUUAUGGAGUGGGCUACACACGUGCUACAAUGGUGAUUACGAUGGGCUGCAAGGUCGCAAGGCUGAGCUAAUCCUAAAAAAUCAUCUCAGUUCGGAUUGUUCUCUGCAACUCGAGAGCAUGAAGUUGGAAUCGCUAGUAAUCGUGGAUCAGCAUGCCACGGUGAAUACGUUCUCGGGUCUUGUACGCACUGCCCGUCACGCCAUGGGAAUUGGUUUCACUCGAAGCU
rnacentral:rRNA from 1 species